rnacentral:misc_RNA from 1 species
CGAAGAUGAUGAUGAUGCAUGGGAAUUGAAUAGAUGAAUGAAAAUGUUACCUCAUCGAAGCUUUUCCUGAAUGGGGGGAACCCAAAAUCUGAUUUUAAUUGUUGGAUAUCCAUGGCAGUGUAAGUUGAUAAUGCAGCAGCAACCCCAGCUCCAGUUAUUUCAUCUCUAUGUGGAAUUAAUUCUUUUGAAGAGCAACUCCCACUACCACUGUCUCUUCUGCUGUUGGGAUCACUGCUUCCUUCACCAGUAGUUGCACUUCUAUCAGUCCAAUUGCAUUGCCUUGGCUGCGUUUGAUAAAAGAUCUUUGAAACCACAAG